rnacentral:rRNA from 1 species
UAGGGAAUAUUGGGCAAUGGGCGAGAGCCUGACCCAGCCAUGCCGCGUGCCGGAUGAAGGCCUUCUGGGUUGUAAACGGCUUUUCUCAGGGAAGAAAAGGACCAUGCGUGGUACACUGACGGUACCUGCGGAAUAAGCACCGGCUAACUCCGUGCCAGCAGCCGCGGUAAUACGGAGGGUGCAAGCGUUGUCCGGAUUUAUUGGGUUUAAAGGGUGCGUAGGUGGCCUGGUAAGUCCGUGGUGAAAGCCUCUUGCUCAACAAGAGAGCUGCCAUGGAUACUGCCGGGCUUGAGUCCAGACGAGGUUGGCGGAAUAGAGGCUGUAGCGGUGAAAUGCAUAGAUAGCCUCUAGAACCCCGAUUGCGUAGGCAGCUGGCUAGGCUGGUACUGACACUGAGGCACGAAAGCGUGGGGAGCGAA